rnacentral:rRNA from 1 species
GAUGAACGCUGGCGGCGUGCUUAACACAUGCAAGUCGAACGAAGCAUUUAGAACGGAUUACUUCGGUUUGAAGUUCUUUAUGACUGAGUGGCGGACGGGUGAGUAACGCGUGGGUAACCUGCCUUGUACUGGGGGAUAGCAGCUGGAAACGGCUGGUAAUACCGCAUAAGCGCACAAUGUUGCAUGACAUGGUGUGAAAAACUCCGGUGGUAUAAGAUGUACCCGCGUCUGAUUAGCUAGUUGGUGAGAUAACAGCCCACCAAGGCGACGAUCAGUAGCCGACCUGAGAGGGUGACCGGCCACAUUGGGACUGAGACACGGCCUAGACUCCUACGGGAGGCAGCAGUGGGGAAUAUUGCACAAUGGAGGAAACUCUGAUGCAGCGACGCCGCGUGAGUGAAGAAGUAAUUCGUUAUGUAAAGCUCUAUCAGCAGGGAAGAUAGUGACGGUACCUGACUAAGAAGCUCCGGCUAAAUACGUGCCAGCCGCCGCAGUAA